rnacentral:rRNA from 1 species
AGGACGAACGCUGGCGGCGUGCUUAACACAUGCAAGUCGAGCGGAAAGGCCCUUCGGGGUACUCGAGCGGCGAACGGGUGAGUAACACGUGAGUAAUCUGCCCCUAGCUCUGGGAUAGCUCCGGGAAACCGGGAUUAAUACCGGAUACGACCACCUUAGACAUCUUUUGUGGUGGAAAGAAUUUCGGCUAGGGAUGAGCUCGCGGCCUAUCAGCUUGUUGGUGGGGUAACGCCUACCAAGGCGACGACGGUAGCCGGCCUGAGAGGGCGACCGGCCACACUGGGACUGAGACACGGCCCAGACUCCUACGGGAGGCAGCAGUGGGAAUAUUGCGCAAUGGGCGAAAGCCUGACGCAGCGACGCCGCGUGGGGAUGAAGGCCUUCGGGUUGUAAACCCCUUUCAGCAGGGACGAAGCGAAAGUGACGGUACCUGCAGAAGAAGCGCCGGCUAACUACGUGCCAGCAGCCGC